rnacentral:rRNA from 2 species
UCAUAGUGAUCCGGUGGUUCUGAAUGGAAGGGCCAUCGCUCAACGGAUAAAAGGUACUCCGGGGAUAACAGGCUGAUACCGCCCAAGAGUUCAUAUCGACGGCGGUGUUUGGCACCUCGAUGUCGGCUCAUCACAUCCUGGGGCUGAAGUAGGUCCCAAGGGUAUGGCUGUUCGCCAUUUAAAGUGGUACGCGAGCUGGGUUUAGAACGUCGUGAGACAGUUCGGUCCCUAUCUGCCGUGGGCGCUGGAGAACUGAGGGGGGCUGCUCCUAGUACGAGAGGACCGGAGUGGACGCAUCACUGGUGUUCGGGUUGUCAUGCCAAUGGCACUGCCCGGUAGCUAAAUGCGGAAGAGAUAAGUGCUGAAAGCAUCUAAGCACGAAACUUGCCCCGAG